rnacentral:rRNA from 1 species
UUUGCUUAAAAUAAAAGGUCCAGCCUGCCCAGUGACACUGUUCAACGGCCGCGGUAUCCUAACCGUGCGAAGGUAGCGUAAUCACUUGUUCUUUAAAUGAGGACUAGUAUGAAAGGCACCACGAGAGUCAUACUGUCUCCUCUCUCCAAUCAGUUAAACUAAUCUCCCCGUGAAGAAGCGGGGAUAACUUUAUAAGACGAGAAGACCCUAUGGAGCUUUAAACGAAUAACACUUGCCCCCCUCUCCUUUCAAUUUCAGAAAAAUCUAUUACCUUGGCAUCAUACUUAUAAGUUUUUGAUUGGGGUGAUCACGGAACAAAAAAUAACCUCCGCAAUGAAAGACUCUCCACAACUAAGUCAAGAACCACAACUCUACACAUCAACAAAUUGACACCAAUUGACCCAAUUUAUUGAUCAAUGAAC